CCAAACUUCUUGUUGCUGUUCUGAGAAGCACGGAUGGGAUCAGCAUUAUGAGGGCAUGCUGGUUCCUGCAGUGCCACAGGGACAGAGCACCCACUUGAUGGAUGGACAGAGCACCUCUAGAUGGACAGAGCAUCCCUGGAGGACAUAGCAGCCCCUAGAUGGAUGGACAGAGCACCCCAAGAUGGACAGACAUAGCAGUCCCAUGAUGGACAACACAGCACCGCUGGAUGGAUAACACAGUACCUCUGGAUGGACACAGCGUGAACACAGCACCCUGGAUGGACACAGCAUGUCUGCACCAUACAAGCUCUACAGCCGGAGUGAAAAUGGAGCGAUCACCGGCGACCUUUAUAGAAUCCAAAACCCACGAGAAUCUGACAGUGGGAGGAUGACAUUAUGCUUUGCUUUGGCUUCCAAAUCAGAUUUUGCAUGACAACCUUCAGAAUGGAAUCCUCAUUAUAUUGAUCCCUCUGGAUUGCAACAGUUCAGACAGAACAGUGAAUGUCAUUACCAUAUCCUGUAUGUUCCUCUUCUAAAAAAUCCAACAAAGCAUAUUGUAAUAAAGAUUGCUUUACGACGGAGAGAGAUCUUUUCUGACUCCAUAAUGGUAAUAAAAUACCUAACAGACCAAUGCUACUCAAUACAUUUAAGAACCUUUUUCACAGCUUGAGACCUUUU